rnacentral:rRNA from 1 species
UACGAAGGGGGCUAGCGUUGCUCGGAAUCACUGGGCGUAAAGCGCACGUAGGCGGAUUGUUAAGUCAGGGGUGAAAUCCUGGAGCUCAACUCCAGAACUGCCUUUGAUACUGGCGAUCUCGAGUCCGGGAGAGGUGAGUGGAACUGCGAGUGUAGAGGUGAAAUUCGUAGAUAUUCGCAAGAACACCAGUGGCGAAGGCGGCUCACUGGCCCGGUACUGACGCUGAGGUGCGAAAGC